rnacentral:lncRNA from 1 species
GGGAUAUCUAUGAGUACCAUAGCCCAAACACCACGUUUAUGCUAGCAAUGAUUACUCUAAACUCAACCGGAAGAGAUUAAAGUAAACUCAUAAACCAAAGAACCAUAAAACAAGAACUUACUAGAAUUUAGAAGUCGAAUUACUAAAGAAUCCUAGGAGCAAGCCUCGGGUUAGGAGAACUUGAUCCCGCAGGUACAACCUACCUCGGAGUAGACACCGACAGGCCAGUCUUCCUCUGAUCUACACCUCCACUCUAUCUCUCUCAAUCUAGUAGAACUUAAGGACCGUCAACAACUCCCCCAAGCUUACCUCUUGCUUGUCCCUGAGCAAGGAUGAACUCAAGAGUUUCUGCAGUGGUUUCAUGCCUUAAAAGUAAGAUCUCAUCUUUGAGUUAGAGUAAACUGUUAAGACUUAAAACUUACUCAUUUUACCUUUCACCAUGGGGCUUACAACCGUCACUUGUGUCUUGAGCAGUUAAAAUAUAGAACGGUCAAGUCAAGCGCCAUGUCUCUUAUUCUUGAUCAGCUAUAGCUCUGAAGUUUUUUUUGCAGAUUUUCAAAUAAAACUCAGAGAUUCCUUAUAUGAUUCUCUCAAAUCUCUCUUUUGUGGUAUUUCUAGAUCCUUUUCAAGGCAGUGAUGGUAUAUGCCUUCUCUCAAAGUAUGUGGUAUUUUUGGUAUGAGGCAUAGUGAUAUUGCCUUCUCUCUCACUCUACUCUAAUAAGGUUUUGAUAUCUGGAGCUCAUAGGUGGGAGACAGAUAAUACAUACUUACAAGACACUUAUUGCAUAGUCAAACCAUGGAUCCAGAGAAACAAGUCAAUAAGUCAAAUCAAGAUGUGCAUGUGUGGCGAGUGAAUGGUGUAUGGUGAUGAUGGUGAUAACAAUGGUGAAAGUCUAAUUCUACUUUUGCUCUUUUUAGGGGAUACAUACCUUUCUUGCACUUUGAAGCUUUUUGAGGGGAAUGAGAUGCUCUAUAUUUUCUUUUUCUUUUCUCUCAAGUGGGUAUCUUGUACCCCUAAUUCUACUAUCGGACACUUGUCCAUUUUUACCUCUCGUCUCACUUUCUCUUUUCUUCGAGGUUCCGGGCACUUGCCCCUUUUUAUUUCCUCGUAUUCUUUCUCUCUUUUUUUUCUUCUUCUUUUUUUAGAGCACUCAUCUCCUAAAAUAAUAUAGCAAGUGGUAGUAACCAAGAUAACUCGAGCAUUUAUUUCACAGGGAAUAACAGGGAUAGGAAAAAGUGUUUGGCUAUUCUCUCCCGGAUAGGAGUAGAAUAAUUUUUGGUGAAUCUAGAAAUGGAAAUGAGUGGAUAUAUGUGGAUGCGUACUUCCGAAGUAGAAGCAGCAUGUAUGAGUGAACGUGCAAGUGAAUCUUGAUUUUAACCGCAUGACAAGCUCCUAAGGCUCUACACAGCUUGACCACACUCAAUGCUCAUAAGCAGUAAAAGUAAAUAUGUGGCUCAAAGUCUAGCAAGCAUGUAUAUAUGGCUGUGGUAGGAAUUUAAACUCUCAUCAUACAGGAACUCAUCAUGUGUUAUUUAAAAGAUUUUCAAAGAUAAAAUUCUUCAGAAUUCUAGCAUCUCUAGGAACAGAUAAACAACAGCUCAGCCUUCCCAUAUCAUAUCCGUUAACAACUUAGACUUCAGAUCAAGUACUCUCCCCACAAGUUCAGGUUUUAGAGCAGGUUUAAAUUAUAACAGUUAUGCCUAAACUUGAGUGAGAUUUAAAUUUUGAGAACUAGUCAUGGCAGAGCAACUAUUUGUCAUUUCCAUAUGAGAGCUUAUCAUGAGGGUCAAUAGCAAACUUUAUUUAUUUAUUUAGCAAACUAAGCAAAGAUAUAAGCACAAAAAUUUUUAUUUGGGUUUUCAUGAUUAUGCAUCUUUUUUUAUUAUUUGAGUAAAGUAUAAACGCGAGUAGAAACACUUAGCUGGAUAAAUGGGGGUGCUCUCCCCCAAGCUGGAUUUUGACGUAAUUUCUUCUGAUAUAGCUAGCAGGUGGUGGAGGUGUAUUUGAAUGUCGGCAGCACGAUUAGAAUAUCCUUAGCCGGCUAGUCUUCUUUGAUCCUUGAAUUCUGUGGAGCUCAAAUAGACAACAAAGCUUUGUAGAACUGGUUAAGUGUUAGCAUAAAUAUCUAGCCUUUGUCAUGUUGAGCCUCCUCAAUAAAUGUUACACUCUUUGGUAGGAUCAUAAAUUUAUUUUCAUUUCUAUAGAGCAGAAAAAAUAUUUAUUUUAUUUUUAUGCCACCACAGUGAAUGUACUUAUGUGUUUUAUGCCUGUUGACACCGUUUUUGGACGCGUACCCGGGGAUCGGUAAAGUAUAGAUCGGCAGAUGGAGCAACGGUAACUAGUCUGCAGGGAAGUUGCCGAUGAAGGUGGUUGCCGAUGAAAGGACAAUUGAAUGUGACUAAGUCUAGAGGUGGUGACGUGCUUGUGCUGAUGAUCAGUAUUAGUGUUUGCCGAUGGCCAUAACAGGGGGUCUGUCGAUGACUCUGAAGGGAAGCAUGGAGAUUGUCGGUUGGUCUGCGGUGGUGUCUCGGUCGGUUACAGGGGGAUAGUUUUAUGUUUUCCUUAGAUGUUUAAAUUCGUUUUGUAUACGGAUUCUGUUUAAUUUGGAAUUUAAGUCCUAGUCGUGUCUGAUUGUAGCUCUUUGAGCAGGGUAUAAAUGUAGACCCUAGGGCCUUGUAAUAGGACAUCGAUCAAUCAAUCAAACAUAAGUUUUUACUCAUAUUCCAGUAUCUACUUUUUCGACGACUUCGUCAUAUUUUCCUUUUAUUACGAGUUCUUAGGAAUUCGUCGACUUAAGCUCAGCGCGUUCUCAAGUUCCGCGUGAUCACCUCUUGGCCGU